GGAGCUUGCUCCCUGGGUGACGAGCGGCGGACGGGUGAGUAAUGUCUGGGAAACUGCCUGAUGGAGGGGGAUAACUACUGGAAACGGUAGCUAAUACCGCAUAACGUCGCAAGACCAAAGAGGGGGACCUUCGGGCCUCUUGCCAUCAGAUGUGCCCAGAUGGGAUUAGCUAGUAGGUGGGGUAAUGGCUCACCUAGGCGACGAUCCCUAGCUGGUCUGAGAGGAUGACCAGCCACACUGGAACUGAGACACGGUCCAGACUCCUACGGGAGGCAGCAGUGGGGAAUAUUGCACAAUGGGCGCAAGCCUGAUGCAGCCAUGCCGCGUGUGUGAAGAAGGCCUUCGGGUUGUAAAGCACUUUCAGCGAGGAGGAAGGUGGUGAACUUAAUACGUUCAUCAAUUGACGUUACUCGCAGAAGAAGCACCGGCUAACUCCGUGCCAGCAGCCGCGGUUAAUA
rnacentral:rRNA from 1 species